CCUACGGGAGGCAGCAGUGAGGAAUAUUGGUCAAUGGACGCAAGUCUGAACCAGCCAUGCCGCGUGCAGGAAGACGGCGCUAUGAGUUGUAAACUGCUUUUGUACGAGGGCAAACGCAGAUUCGAGUAUCUGUCUGAAAGUAUCGUACGAAUAAGGAUCGGCUAACUCCGUGCCAGCAGCCGCGGUAAUACGGAGGAUUCAAGCGUUAUCCGGAUUUAUUGGGUUUAAAGGGUGCGUAGGCGGUCGGUUAAGUUAGAGGUGAAAUCCCGGGGCUCAACUUCGGACUAGCCUUUGAGACUGUUCGGCUAGAGAGUAGUAGCGGUAGGCGGAAUGUACGGUGUAGCGGUGAAAUGCUUAGAGAUCAUACAGAACACCGAUUGCGAAGGCAGCUUACCAGGCUACUUCUGACGUUGAGGCACGAAAGCGUGGGGAGCAAACAGGAUUAGAUACCCGUGUAGUC
rnacentral:rRNA from 1 species